rnacentral:misc_RNA from 1 species
UCAUUAUCACUAAUCAAGCUCGGCUUGCUGUUGGACCCUCUUGUCGUUAAAAGACAGGUCCCAAAGAUAAUGACGGUGUUAUUAGAACCCUAGAUGCAACGAGCUUUAACUAGCACGCAUGAUAGUGGCCUUUUAACCCGGUCUUUUUAACCAAUUUUAAGGUUGACCUCGGAUCAGGUAGGAAUACCCGCUGAACUUAA